GACGAACGCUGGCGGCGUGCCUAAUACAUGCAAGUUGAGCGCUGAAGGUUGGUACUUGUACCGACUGGAUGAGCAGCGAACGGGUGAGUAACGCGUGGGGAAUCUGCCUUUGAGCGGGGGACAACAUUUGGAAACGAAUGCUAAUACCGCAUAAAAACUUUAAACACAAGUUUUAAGUUUGAAAGAUGCAAUUGCAUCACUCAAAGAUGAUCCCGCGUUGUAUUAGCUAGUUGGUGAGGUAAAGGCUCACCAAGGCGAUGAUACAUAGCCGACCUGAGAGGGUGAUCGGCCACAUUGGGACUGAGACACGCCCCAAACUCCUACGGGAGGCAGCAGUAGGGAAUCUUCGGCAAUGGACGAAAGUCUGACCGAGCAACGCCGCGUGAGUGAAGAAGGAUUUCGGAUCGUAAAACUCUGUUGGUAGAGAAGAACGUUGGUGAGAGUGGAAAGCUCAUCAAGUGACGGUAACUACCCAGAAAGGGACGGCUAACUACGUG
rnacentral:rRNA from 1 species